GAUGAACGCUGGCGGCGUGCCUAAUACAUGCAAGUCGAGCGAACGGACGAGAAGCUUGCUUCUCUGAUGUUAGCGGCGGACGGGUGAGUAACACGUGGAUAACCUACCUAUAAGACUGGGAUAACUUCGGGAAACCGGAGCUAAUACCGGAUAAUAUUUUGCACCGCAUGGUUCAAAAGUGAAAGACGGUCUUGCUGUCACUUAUAGAUGGAUCCGCGCUGCAUUAGCUAGUUGGUAAGGUAACGGCUUACCAAGGCAACGAUGCAUAGCCGACCUGAGAGGACGAUCGGCCACCCUGGAACUGAGACACGGUACAGAGGCCUAGGGGAGGCAGCAGUAGGGAAACGGCAGGAAUGGGCGAAAGACUGACGGAGAAACGCCGCGUGAGUGAGGAAGAUCUUCGGAUCGGAAAACUCUGUUAUUAGGGAAGAACAUAUGUGUAAGUAACUGUGAACAUCUGUAAGGGACAUAAUCAGAAAGCCACGGCUAACUACGUU
rnacentral:rRNA from 1 species